GCCCUUGUGGCGUAAUGGCUAACGCGUCUGACUUCUACUUCGAAAUCAGAAGAUUCAGAGUUCGAGUCUCUGCUCGGGCU